rnacentral:rRNA from 1 species
UACGAAGGGGGCUAGCGUUGUUCGGAAUCACUGGGCGUAAAGCGCACGUAGGCGGAUCUUUAAGUCAGAGGUGAAAUCCCAAGGCUCAACCUUGGAACUGCCUUUGAUACUGGGGAUCUUGAGUCCGGGAGAGGUGAGUGGAACUGCGAGUGUAGAGGUGAAAUUCGUAGAUAUUCGCAAGAACACCAGUGGCGAAGGCGGCUUACUGGUCCGGAACUGACGCUGAGGUGCGAAAGCGUGGGGAGCAAACAGG